CGGGACACGUGGUAUCCUGUCUGAAUAUGGGGGGACCAUCCUCCAAGGCUAAAUACUCCUGACUGACCGAUAGUGAACCAGUACCGUGAGGGAAAGGCGAAAAGAACCCCGGCGAGGGGAGUGAAAAAGAACCUGAAACCGUGUACGUACAAGCAGUGGGAGCACGCUUAGGCGUGUGACUGCGUACCUUUUGUAUAAUGGGUCAGCGACUUAUAUUCUGUAGCAAGGUUAACCGAAUAGGGGAGCCGAAGGGAAACCGAGUCUUAACUGGGCGUUAAGUUGCAGGGUAUAGACCCGAAACCCGGUGAUCUAGCCAUGGGCAGGUUGAAGGUUGGGUAACACUAACUGGAGGACCGAACCGACUAAUGUUGAAAAAUUAGCGGAUGACUUGUGGCUGGGGGUGAAAGGCCAAUCAAACCGGGAGAUAGCUGGUUCUCCCCGAAAGCUAUUUAGGUAGCGCCUCGUGAAUUCAUCUCCGGGGGUAGAGCACUGUUUCGGCAAGGGGGUCAUCCCGACUUACCAACCCGAUGCAAACUGCGAAUACCGGAGAAUGUUAUCACGGGAGACACACGGCGGGUGCUAACGUCCGUCGUGAAGAGGGAAACAACCCAGACCGCCAGCUAAGGUCCCAAAGUCAUGGUUAAGUGGGAAACGAUGUGGGAAGGCCCAGACAGCCAGGAUGUUGGCUUAGAAGCAGCCAUCAUUUAAAGAAAGCGUAAUAGCUCACUGGUCGAGUCGGCCUGCGCGGAAGAUGUAACGGGGCUAAACCAUGCACCGAAGCUGCGGCAGCGACGCUGAUGCGUUGUUGGGUAGGGGAGCGUUCUGUAAGCCUGCGAAGGUGUGCUGUGAGGCAUGCUGGAGGUAUCAGAAGUGCGAAUGCUGACAUAAGUAACGAUAAAGCGGGUGAAAAGCCCGCUCGCCGGAAGACCAAGGGUUCCUGUCCAACGUUAAUCGGGGCAGGGUGAGUCGACCCCUAAGGCGAGGCCGAAAGGCGUAGUCGAUGGGAAACAGGUUAAUAUUCCUGUACUUGGUGUUACUGCGAAGGGGGGACGGAGAAGGCUAUGUUGGCCGGGCGACGGUUGUCCCGGUUUAAGCGUGUAGGCUGGUUUUCCAGGCAAAUCCGGAAAAUCAAGGCUGAGGCGUGAUGACGAGGCACUACGGUGCUGAAGCAACAAAUGCCCUGCUUCCAGGAAAAGCCUCUAAGCAUCAGGUAACAUCAAAUCGUACCCCAAACCGACACAGGUGGUCAGGUAGAGAAUACCAAGGCGCUUGAGAGAACUCGGGUGAAGGAACUAGGCAAAAUGGUGCCGUAACUUCGGGAGAAGGCACGCUGAUAUGUAGGUGAAGUCCCUCGCGGAUGGAGCUGAAAUCAGUCGAAGAUACCAGCUGGCUGCAACUGUUUAUUAAAAACACAGCACUGUGCAAACACGAAAGUGGACGUAUACGGUGUGACGCCUGCCCGGUGCCGGAAGGUUAAUUGAUGGGGUUAGCGCAAGCGAAGCUCUUGAUCGAAGCCCCGGUAAACGGCGGCCGUAACUAUAACGGUCCUAAGGUAGCGAAAUUCCUUGUCGGGUAAGUUCCGACCUGCACGAAUGGCGUAAUGAUGGCCAGGCUGUCUCCACCCGAGACUCAGUGAAAUUGAACUCGCUGUGAAGAUGCAGUGUACCCGCGGCAAGACGGAAAGACCCCGUGAACCUUUACUAUAGCUUGACACUGAACAUUGAGCCUUGAUGUGUAGGAUAGGUGGGAGGCUUUGAAGUGUGGACGCCAGUCUGCAUGGAGCCGACCUUGAAAUACCACCCUUUAAUGUUUGAUGUUCUAACGUGGACCCGUAAUCCGGGUUGCGGACAGUGUCUGGUGGGUAGUUUGACUGGGGCGGUCUCCUCCUAAAGAGUAACGGAGGAGCACGAAGGUUGGCUAAUCCUGGUCGGACAUCAGGAGGUUAGUGCAAUGGCAUAAGCCAGCUUGACUGCGAGCGUGACGGCGCGAGCAGGUGCGAAAGCAGGUCAUAGUGAUCCGGUGGUUCUGAAUGGAAGGGCCAUCGCUCAACGGAUAAAAGGUACUCCGGGGAUAACAGGCUGAUACCGCCCAAGAGUUCAUAUCGACGGCGGUGUUUGGCACCUCGAUGUCGGCUCAUCACAUCCUGGGGCUGAAGUAGGUCCCAAGGGUAUGGCUGUUCGCCAUUUAAAGUGGUACGCGAGCUGGGUUUAGAACGUCGUGAGACAGUUCGGUCCCUAUCUGCCGUGGGCGCUGGAGAACUGAGGGGGGCUGCUCCUAGUACGAGAGGACCGGAGUGGACGCAUCACUGGUGUUCGGGUUGUCAUGCCAAUGGCACUGCCCGGUAGCUAAAUGCGGAAGAGAUAAGUGCUGAAAGCAUCUAAGCACGAAACUUGCCCCGAGAUGAGUUCUCCCUGACUCCUUGAGAGUCCUGAAGGAACGUUGAAGACGACGACGUUGAUAGGCCGGGUGUGUAAGCGCAGCGAUGCGUUGAGCUAACCGGUACUAAUGAACCGUGAGGCUUAACCUUACAACGCCGAAGGUGUUU
rnacentral:rRNA from 1 species